rnacentral:rRNA from 1 species
GAUGAACGCUGGCGGCGUGCUUAACACAUGCAAGUCGAACGAAGCAGAUUGAGAUCUUCGGAAGGAUAUCUGACUGAGUGGCGGACGGGUGAGUAACGCGUGGGUAACCUGCCUCAUACAGGGGGAUAACAGUUAGAAAUGACUGCUAAUACCGCAUAAGCGCACAGUACCGCAUGGUACGGUGUGAAAAACUCCGGUGGUAUGAGAUGGACCCGCGUCUGAUUAGCUAGUUGGUGGGGUAACGGCCUACCAAGGCGACGAUCAGUAGCCGACCUGGGAGGGUGACCGGCCACAUUGGGACUGAGACACGGCCCAAACUCCUACGGGAGGCAGCAGUGGGGAAUAUUGCACAAUGGGCGAAAGCCUGAUGCAGCGACGCCGCGUGAGUGAAGAAGUAUUUCGGUAUGUAAAGCUCUAUCAGCAGGGAAGAAAAUGACGGUACCUGACUAAGAAGCACCGGCUAAAUACGUGCCAGCCGCCGCGGUAACAC